rnacentral:rRNA from 1 species
UACGUAGGGUGCAAGCGUUGUCCGGAAUUAUUGGGCGUAAAGAGCUCGUAGGCGGCCUGUCGCGUCGGCUGUGAAAACCCGAGGCUCAACCUCGGGCCUGCAGUCGAUACGGGCAGGCUAGAGUUCGGUAGGGGAGACUGGAAUUCCUGGUGUAGCGGUGAAAUGCGCAGAUAUCAGGAGGAACACCGGUGGCGAAGGCGGGUCUCUGGGCAAUAACUGACGCUGAGGAGCGAAAGUGUGGGGAGCGAACAGG